rnacentral:rRNA from 1 species
UACGGAGGGUGCAAGCGUUGUUCGGAAUCACUGGGCGUAAAGGGUGCGUAGGCGGCGCGGUAAGUCGGGUGUGAAAUCUCGGAGCUUAACUCCGAAACUGCAUUCGAUACUGCCGUGCUUGAGGACUGGAGAGGAGACUGGAAUUUACGGUGUAGCGGUGAAAUGCGUAGAUAUCGUAAGGAAGACCAGUGGCGAAGGCGGGUCUCUGGACAGUUCCUGACGCUGAGGCACGAAGGUCAGGGGAGCAAACGGG